ACCAGACCCCCCGGAGCGUGUGACUGCGACCCCGAUCCGUUUCAGCGCUCGGAGACUGGAGGUAUCCUGGCACAGCCCUGCAACCUGGCCUGACAUCGACAACUUCCCUCUGAAAUACUUCCUUCGAUACCGGCCACUCAUCCGAGAGCAGUGGCAGCAUGUGGAGCUAUCUGACAGUACCUCCCAUAUCAUCACCGAUGCCUAUGCUGGGAAGGAAUACAUCAUCCAGGUGGCUGCCAAGGACACAGAGAUUGGAACAUGGAGUGACUGGAGUGUUGCUGUCCAUGCUACACCCUGGAUUGAAGAUCCUCUGCCGAUUACUUCCACUACUGAAGUGGACUUUCCCACCG